GAUGAACGCUGGCGGCGUGCCUAAUACAUGCAAGUCGAGCGAACGGACGAGAAGCUUGCUUCUCUGAUGUUAGCGGCGGACGGGUGAGUAACACGUGGAUAACCUACCUAUAAGACUGGGAUGACUUCGGGAAACCGGAGCUAAUACCGGAUAAUAUUUUGAACCGCAUGGUUCAAAAGUGAAAGACGGUCUUGCUGUCACUUAUAGAUGGAUCCGCGCUGCAUUAGCUAGUUGGUAAGGUAACGGCUUACCAAGGCAACGAUGCAUAGCCGACCUGAGAGGGCGAUCGGCCACACUGGAACUGAGACACGGUCCAGACUCCUACGGGAGGCAGCAGUAGGGAAUCUUCCGCAAUGGGCGAAAGCCUGACGGAGCAACGCCGCGUGAGUGAUGAAGGUCUUCGGAUCGUAAAACUCUGUUAUUAGGGAAGAACAUAUGUGUAAGUAACUGUGCACAUCUUGACGGUACCUAAUCAGAAAGCCACGGCUAACUACGUG
rnacentral:rRNA from 1 species